ensembl:lincRNA Meg3 maternally expressed 3
NNNNCCCCCCCCGCCUCCCCAAACUCACCUCAGUUGCCAACAGCCUCCUGGUGCCUGUUGGACCAUCCCUUGCUGGUUCUUCAUUUCCUGUGGGCCUAGUUUCCAGGGGCUGAGUGACCAGGGUCUUAAAACAGGUUUAAGGCUUGGCUUGCUGGCCCUGGAGAUCCCGUCGCCGUCUUCGUCGAACUCGAAAUCCUAGCCAUCGUCCUUCCCUGGCCUGUCGCGUCUUCCUGUGCCAUUUGCUGUUGUGCUCAGGUUCCACGAGCUGCCCAUCUCCACAGAAGAGCAGCUGGCAUUGCCCACCGGCCAUGCCGGCUGAAGAAAAGAAGACUGAGGACCCCAGGAUGCCCAGCGCGAGGACCCCAGGAAGCCCAGCGCGAGGACUCCACCCACGACGCCCAGCGCGAGGACUUCACGCACAACACGUUGCAACCCUCCUGGAUUAGGCCAAAGCCAUCAUCUGGAAUCCUGCGUGGGACCCUGGACACACGGACACAGACACCUGCCCCCAGGACCCUCCAACUGUAAAUCGAUUGGAAGCGCCCUUGUGAGCUGGGGCCUUCAAAGGGCUGAGGAGAAAAUGCAGGCCGAGAGACCAGCUUCUCAAAUAGGCUUCAAGCCUCCAUGACCUGAGCUCACCCCCUGGAAAUGUCUGGAAAACAUAAUGGGCAGGUUUUCUGUCUUCAAAGUUUCCA